CACGUAGGGGGCAAGCGUUGUCCGGAUUUAUUGGGCGUAAAGAGCUCGUAGGUGGUUCGGUAAGUCAGGUGUGAAACCUCCAGGCUCAACCUGGAGACGCCACUUGAUACUGCUGUGACUGGAGUCCGGUAGGGGAGCGUGGAAUUCCUGGUGUAGCGGUGAAAUGCGCAGAUAUCAGGAGGAACACCAGCGGCGAAGGCGGCGCUCUGGGCCGGUACUGACGCUGAGGCACGAAAGCGUGGGGAGCAAACAGG
rnacentral:rRNA from 1 species